rnacentral:misc_RNA from 1 species
AAUGAAAUGUCUGAUCAUUCAAAAAGUCAAAGUUAAACAAAGGAGUUCAUCCAUCACAAUACUGACUACAAUACAUGUACAAAUGCUCGACACCAAAAAGUGCAUCUUAAAGCUUGACUACUUGACACCAGAAGAUUGAAUCAGAAAAUCCUUGAGUGUUUUAACAUUUUUUUAGUCUCAUUCAAUGCAUCACCAAAAUAUUUAUGCUUUCUGCAGGGACAUGACCAAAAAUGCAAUCAUGGUUACAAAGAAUUGUUAUUUUAGACAGACCUACAUGAGGA